AUUGAACGCUGGCGGCAUGCCUUACACAUGCAAGUCGAACGGCAUCGCGGGAAAGCUUGCUUUCCUGGCGGCGAGUGGCGAACGGGUGAGUAACACAUCGGAACGUACCGGCUAGUGGGGGAUAACCCGUCGAAAGACGGGCUAAUACCGCAUACGCUCUUCGGAUGAAAGCAGGGGACCUUUGGGCCUUGCGCUAGCCGAGCGGCCGAUGUCCGAUUAGCUAGUUGGUGGGGUAAAGGCCUACCAAGGCGACGAUCGGUAGCGGGUCUGAGAGGACGAUCCGCCACACUGGGACUGAGACACGGCCCAGACUCCUACGGGAGGCAGCAGUGGGGAAUCUUGGACAAUGGGGGCAACCCUGAUCCAGCAAUGCCGCGUGGGUGAAGAAGGCCUUCGGGUUGUAAAGCCCUUUCGGCAGGGAAGAAAUCGGCGGGGCGAAUAACCCUGCUGGAUGACGGUACCUGCAGAAGAAGCACCGGCUAACUACGUG
rnacentral:rRNA from 1 species